GCUGAUAUUCGACACCGUAUUAUAAUAUACCUGUACAAAGAAACUGGUCCAUCCUGAGGGGAUAUUCGCUUCUGCGGUUGUCCAGCAUUUCAGAGAUGGUUAGAGGGUGUGCGAGGAGGGAGAGCUGCUGCGAUCACCGGAUCUACUUCAAAGACAAUAGCUAACGACCUUCGCAAUAACUAUAAUAUACGGUGCUGUGCUGGAUUGUGGCCUGAUGUGACCUGCUGUGACGAACCUGCAAAACUUCAAAACUAACUAAGCCAAACAUGCCGACCAGUCUGAUGGUCAUAAAACUCAUAACGUUCUCGGUAAAAUAUAAAAUGAACUCGACGUCUGUUCCACUAGUAUUAAUAAAACAUUAUAUUCAGUCUUGGAAUUAAAGAAUACGUUGUUAAUAUCGCAGUAGAAUUAAUCAAUUAAAUAAAUGUACAGCAAAAAUAAUUACAAAAAAAUGGUAAAUGGAGAAAUUCCUUUUCAUACAUUAACUUACGCAGGUUUGCAAAUAUUUGACUAAGUUGUAUUUUUUUAUUAAAAUUUACAAAAGUUAACCGUAUGUUACAGAUAUUACAUCAUAAUUUGUAUACAAUUAUAUCUAUAAACUAUAUACAUAAGGGAGAUAAGGAAAA